GGAUUAGAUACCCUGGUAGUCCACGCCGUAAACGAUGUCUACUAGUUGUUGGGGAACUUGAUUCCUUAGUAACGAAGCUAACGCGAUAAGUAGACCGCCUGGGGAGUACGGCCGCAAGGUUAAAACUCAAAUGAAUUGACGGGGGCCCGCACAAGCGGUGGAGCAUGUGGUUUAAUUCGAAGCAACGCGAAGAACCUUACCUGGUCUUGACAUCCUGCGAACUUGCUAGAGAUAGCUUGGUGCCUUCGGGAGCGCAGAGACAGGUGCUGCAUGGCUGUCGUCAGCUCGUGCCG
rnacentral:rRNA from 1 species